rnacentral:rRNA from 1 species
UAUCUCUGUAGAGUCUGCAUAUCAAUAAGCGGAGGAAAAGAAACUAACUAGGAUUCCCUCAGUAACGGCGAGUGAAGCGGGAAGAGCUCAAAUUUGAAAUCUUCAAGGUUUUACCUUGACGAAUUGUAGUUUAAAGAAGUGUUUUCUGUUGGAGUUUUGGUAAAAGUUCUUUGGAAUAGGACAUCAUAGAGGGUGAGAAUCCCGUAUUUGACCAUUAUUUCCAGCUUUGUGAUACACUUUCAAAGAGUCGGAUUGUUUGGGAAUGCAGUCCAAAAUGGGUGGUAAAUUUCAUCUAAAGCUAAAUAUUGGCGAGAGACCGAUAGCGAACAAGUACCGUGAGGGAAAGAUGAAAAGAACUUUGAAAAGAGAGUUAAACAGUACGUGAAAUUGUCAAAAGGGAAGCGUUUGACACCAGUGUUGUUUUCUCGAAAAUCAAUUAAAAAAGUUAGGAUUUUGUAGUUGUAUAGACCUUAUCAGCUUACUGUACUCUUUUCUUGUCUUUUUUAAUGCACUUUUCGUUUAACAAGUCAACAUCAAUUUCUUUUGUUGUAAAAGGGUCAUUGGAAGGUGGCUUUCUUUUCGGAGAAAGUGUUUAUAGCCUUUGGCCUCUGCAAUCGGAGAGAUUGAGGUCUGCAGCGUAGAUCCUUCGGGGUUAGAUACAUUUGUGCUAAGUUAUAGCCUUUCAUAGACAACUUGUUGACUAUGAUCAGUCAUGUAGCUUACUCGCUUAUGCUAUUUUACCUACGCUUAGGAUGUUGAAGUCAUCGUAUCGCGC